GGAGAUGACAGUAAGUAGUUGGUUGCCUGAGCUCAGCAGUGGUGAGAAAUAAAUCAGCUGUAGUGGAACUGCCCCAAAAGAAGUGAUUACAGCUUCUUUGCAUUUAAGAUUCAGAGUCCUGGAUUUAAGGUUGUUCUUAGUGACAUUGACAUCUCACUGUGAAAACUUUCACACUGUUGGACUACACACGUGGGCUGCCCUGGAAGUGAUUCUUAAACUGGAGAAGGUUUCAAAGGCAGUAUCCCAGUUUUAAUUGAUCUCUGUAGAUGUGAGGAGGCACAAAAGGGACAGUUUAUUCUUUCGAAGUUGCUGGAACUGCUUGCAGUAAGAAAUAAAAGCUGUGCGUCAAUCAAGAAAACUGUUUCAAUUGUUCAGAACAUGCUGCUAACCUAACCUUUGCAGCUACAUUUUUAGACGUACCAUG